GACGAACGCUGGCGGCGUGCUUAACACAUGCAAGUCGAACGGUGAAGCCCUUCGGGGGGGAUCAGUGGCGAACGGGUGAGUAACACGUGAGCAACCUGCCCCUGGCCCUGGGACAACCAUAGGAAACGGUGGCUAAUACUGGUUACGACCCGCCUCGGCAUCGAGAGGGGGUGGAAAGUUUUUCGGCUGGGGAUGGGUUCGCGGCCUAUCAGCUUGUUGGUGGGGUGUAGGCUCACCAAGGCGACGACGGGUAGCCGGCCUGAGAGGGCGACCGGCCACACUGGGACUGAGACACGGCCCAGACUCCUACGGGAGGCAGCAGUGGGGAAUAUUGCACAAUGGGCGAAAGCCUGAUGCAGCGACGCCGCGUGAGGGAUGACGGCCUUCGGGUUGUAAACCUCUUUCAGCUCCGAAGAAGCGAAAGUGACGGUAGGAGCAGAAGAAGCACCGGCUAACUACGUG
rnacentral:rRNA from 1 species